CCAGACUCCUACGGGAGGCAGCAGUGGGGGAUAUUGCACAAUGGGGGAAACCCUGAUGCAGCGACGCCGCGUGAGCGAUGAAGUAUUUCGGUAUGUAAAGCUCUAUCAGCAGGGAAGAAAAUGACGGUACCUGACUAAGAAGCCCCGGCUAACUACGUGCCAGCAGCCGCGGUAAUACGUAGGGGGCAAGCGUUAUCCGGAUUUACUGGGUGUAAAGGGAGCGUAGACGGUCCUGCAAGCCAGAUGUGAAAGCCCGGGGCUCAACCCCGGGACUGCAUUUGGAAACUGUGGAGCUAGAGUGCUGGAGAGGUAAGUGGAAUUCCUAGUGUAGCGGUGAAAUGCGUAGAUAUUAGGAGGAACACCAGUGGCGAAGGCGGCUUGCUGGACAGUAACUGACGUUGAGGCUCGAAAGCGUGGGGAGCAAACAGGAUUAGAUACCCUCGUAUC
rnacentral:rRNA from 1 species